GAAGUGUGGGCGGCGGGUUCGGCGGUAGCUUUGGCGGUAGCGCCGGCGGCAGCGGCGGCUCCAGUGGCGGCACUCAAGGGUGAAAAGGAUGCUGCACUAUGGCCCUCUAAAGCACAAGUAACUAACACUUUUUCUUUAUGCAGGUAGAAACCAUAACCACACUAACACAAUGUUUGAAAUAAAUGUGAAAUUUAAAGAU